rnacentral:rRNA from 1 species
UACGUAGGGAGCAAGCGUUGUCCGGAUUUAUUGGGCGUAAAGAGCUCGUAGGCGGCUUAGCAAGUCAGGUGUGAAACCUCCAGGCUCAACCUGGAGACGCCACUUGAUACUGCUAUGGCUUGAGUUUGGUAGGGGAAGACGGAAUUCCUGGUGUAGCGGGGAAAUGCGCAGAUAUCAGAGAGGAACACCGAUGGCGAAGGCAGUCGUCUGGGCCAAAACUGACGCUGAGGAGCGAAAGCGUGGGGAGCGAACAGG